rnacentral:rRNA from 1 species
GAUCAUGGCUCAGAUUGAACGCUGGCGGCAUGCUUUACACAUGCAAGUCGAACGGCAGCGGGCCUUCGGGUGCCGGCGAGUGGCGAACGGUGAGUAAUGCAUCGGAACGUGCCAUUGAGUGGGGAUAACGUAGCGAAAGUUGCGCUAAUACCGCAUAUUCUGUGAGCAGGAAAGCAGGGGACCGCAAGGCCUUGCGCUCUUUGAGCGGCCGAUGUCAGAUUAGCUAGUUGGUGAGGUAAAGGCUUACCAAGGCGACGAUCUGUAGCGGGUCUGAGAGGAUGAUCCGCCACACUGGAACUGAGACACGGUCCAGACUCCUACGGGAGGCAGCAGUGGGAAUUUUGGACAAUGGGGCAACCCUGAUCCAGCCAUGCCGCGUGAGUGAAGAAGGCCUUCGGGUUGUAAAGCUCUUUCGGCCGGGAAGAAAUCGCAUGGGUGAAUACCCUGUGUGGAUGACGGUACCGGAACAAGAAGCACCGGCUAACUACGUG